GGGGAAUUUUGGACAAUGGGCGAAAGCCUGAUCCAGCCAUGCCGCGUGAGUGAAGAAGGCCUUCGGGUUGUAAAGCUCUUUCAGGUGGAAAGAAAACGCAUAGGUUAAUACCUUGUGCGGAUGACGGUACCAUCAGAAGAAGCACCGGCUAACUACGUGCCAGCAGCCGCGGUAAUACGUAGGGUGCGAGCGUUAAUCGGAAUUACUGGGCGUAAAGCGUGCGCAGGCGGUUAUGUAAGACAGAUGUGAAAUCCCCGGGCUCAACCUGGGAACUGCGUUUGUGACUGCAUAACUAGAGUACGGCAGAGGGAGGUGGAAUUCCGCGUGUAGCAGUGAAAUGCGUAGAUAUGCGGAGGAACACCGAUGGCGAAGGCAGCCUCCUGGGCCAGUACUGACGCUCAUGCACGAAAGCGUGGGGAGCAAAC
rnacentral:rRNA from 1 species